UUAGUACCUACUUGCCUAGUUACUUGAUGCGAUUGUGUUAGUUUAAUAAAAAUAGAGCUGUAAAAUAAUAUGGUACGCGUAGUGGUAGUAAAAGUCAUACUAAGUAUAUGAUCUUCGGUCGUAGUAUAACAGAAUGGUGUCGAUGCAAUUCUAUAUACAAUUGACACCAGUGAGAAUUUUGAAUUUUUCUCACAUAACGCAUCGAAAUAAUAUUGUUAACAUGUUUACUUAACUUUGUUAUUCGAUUGAAUGAAACCACGAUAUCUUAUCUGUAAGGUAUUUCAACCUCUAAUCCCACAUUAUUAUGUGGUGGGAAUGGUGUACUUAGUUUAAAUUUAAUUUUUAUUCAGUAAAAUGUGAUCGUUACUCGGUAGUACGUAGCAUACCAUGUGAAACAUGAACUGAUGCCCGAAAAUUUGUGGAUUAGUUUGGAGCGGAGCGCUACCGGAAAAUGAUGACCAAAAAAAUGGAUAAUGGCGGCUUCUACAGAAAUUCAGAGGAAGGAACCGAGUUAGGAUUUGUUAGAAAUCCAGAAGCGAUGAGCGUUCCAAAUAACGGGAAUUCCGCAUUGUACGAACCCUCAACCUCCUGUAACACCCAAGUUUGUCAGUCGACAAGAAACAAAUUCCCACUGCCGAAUUUAUCAAGCAGCCCCUGGAACAGGUGCAAAACUAUAGCCUUAAUCGUAAUGGUAACUCUUUUUGUACUCUGGAUAAUAAUAUACGCAGUUCUGAAUCAAAUGAACCUUAUGUAAAGUUACUUUGUUAAGUUUAUUGUAUAUUUUUAAGGUUGUCUAUACGUAUUGUAUUACAAAGGUUUUAUCUAUAGUACCUAGCUUACGUAUGAAUUUGUUUUAGUUAGGUAUUUAUCUUUUUAUUGUUGAUAUUUUUAACAACAAAAUCAUGGCAGGGCUUCCAUUUAGACUGCGUUGUAGAUUAUAUACGAAUUGAUAAGCAAUUAAAUGUUACCCAUAUUUAUAUUGAUAAGCAAAUUCACGACUGUGAUACCUAGUUAUAGGUUUAAACUGUAGCUAAGGAUGUGAUACAAGUAUAACAACUAUUUUUAUCAAAUACCACUCCCAAGUCUC